GGGUCCGUAGCUCAGCCUGGAUACUUUUGCCAGAAAGAGCACCGGCCCUCUAAGCCGGUGGUCGUGGGUUCGAAUCCCUCCGGGCCCGCCA
rnacentral:tRNA from 1 species